UGGGGGAUAUUGCACAAUGGGCGAAAGCCUGAUGCAGCGACGCCGCGUGGGGGAUGAAGGCCUUCGGGUUGUAAACUUCUUUUGCUCUGAACAAGGCAUGCUAAUGGGUGUGUUGAGUGUAGGGGUUGAUUAGCGCCGGCUAACUACGUGCCAGCAGCCGCGGUAAUACGUAGGGCGCGAGCGUUGUCCGGAAUUAUUGGGCGUAAAGGGCUUGUAGGUGGCUGGUUGCGUCUGUCGUGAAAGCUCAUGGCUUAACUGUGGGUUUGCGGUGGGUACGGGCUGGCUUGAGUCCAGUAGGGGAGGCUGGAAUUCCUGGUGUAGCGGUGGAAUGCGCAGAUAUCAGGAGGAAUACCGGUGGCGAAGGCGGGUCUCUGGGCUGUUACUGACACUGAGGAGCGAAAGCAUGGGGAGCGAACAGG
rnacentral:rRNA from 1 species